UAACAAUAGAUGACGAGUCCUACAAAUAUAUCAGACAGAAGGGAUUCCGGCUGAACUUCCGUUUCAGCAAGGUAGUAAUGAGGCCAUGGAGGCCCAAGGCAAUGACAACGGCGAGCCAGGAGCCUGCGACGGGGAUGACUAUAGUACCGACUUUAUCCGUAGCCAGCUCAGCAGUGCAUGAGGCGACUGCCGCUGGGGCUGCGGGAGAGCGACCCGAGUCCCCCAACGACACCAUCUCGGCUGGGGAGGCUGUGACCACCGCCGCUGAUGAAUGCAGGCGCAACGAGCUCCCCAACGAGCAUAAAGGUAUGCUGCCAUCCACCCAAAAGCUUCUGGAAGGGCAGGAAAUGCAGGUUGAUGAAGAUGGCGGGGACGAGGACCUGUUACUCAUCGAGCCGAUAUUGUAAGCUCCAGCGCCAGCAUAGAAGUUGCCCUGAUGAACCUGCAUCACGCAUCGGCAGCCUCGGCUGUCAUCGUGAAAAGGUUCAUCUCGGAUAACCGGGUAUCCUCUUAUUCCAAGAACCAUUGGUGUACAAAGGUGAGGUAAGAGGCCUCAAUUCGAGAAAUAGAAAGAGUUUCUAACCCAAGAUCUGGUGGCGGUACAGGUGAAGGACAGGGAAGGUUCGGACUUCGUCCUCGCAGGAGAGGGCAGAAACACUCCUACAAGCGCACUUUUCGGAGGCGGUUCAGGCUGACCUAACUCCAGCAUCGGUCACAUAUAGGCCGGAUCGCUUAGACUGGCUAGCUGUAAAGAAUUUGUUCACUGCAGACUCAGUCAAGUGGGCACUGGCCUCCUUUUCGAACUAUAAGUCACCGGGAGAGAUGGUCGCCAUGUUUGUUGCUCCUUUGGUAGAGUAGACUGAAACUUCGAAGACUGUGUCCACCAGGAAUUGUGGAAGUAAGUAAGUCCGUGAUGAAGAUGGUGGGAGAGAGGCGAUUUCCGCCGCCUCUCCCGCUUGUUGGCAAGGUGUGCAUUUUUGAGCUAGGCAGCCAAGCUUUUUAAGACACCAGCCGGUAUUACUGGUAAGCAGGGCAGAAGAAACAGAUCUGCGUCUAUUGACGGUGUCUACAAGUUAGAAGAAAAUCGAAUUUAAACCUAAAUAUAAGACUAUGGAAUUUAUCCAAAUGCACUGCAUUUAUAUUCAAAUGCACUGCAUUUAUGGCUUUAUGGCAACUUCAUGAACAUGAAGAAGGUUAAUUUGCUUGAAUAAGUGAAGUAAAUAUUUUCACGCAACUCGGUAUCGAUUGAGAAAAGUGCUAUUAGCAUUGAACGCUCUGUGGUUUGGUAGUUAUCGCAGUCGUGUGUGAACCGAAGGAGCAGAGGCUGUCAAAUCUUAAUCUUUUUAUGUCGGAAUGUUAAUUUUUAGUUAAGUUCCGAUCUGUACUCCUUCAUGCAGUUCGGGAACAUGGUCACUGUGGAUUUAGUACGCUUUUAAUUUUAAGUACAUGACAUCAAUUUCAUUGCCCAACGUCAUCACGCAGUCUACAGCGUACGAGUUGAUGGACAUUCCCUCUGAUGGUCAGGAAGUUUCGAAAAAUGGGAGUUAAGUAGUAUCGGAGGCAGAAGAUCACUUUUCGGUAGCCUCUGUUUAAUUCUUCUCAAAUUGCAGUUUUUACCUCGAAACAGUUCAGAUGAUUUUCGCCCGCCCGGGUAGUUCAUAGUCCAUCUCUUCAACCAUCUUCAACCAUGGACGAAGCGUGGAUUGUUCGAUGUACUCAUCUAGCGUUUUGUGGUUGCCAAUAGAUUCGAAAGAUUUAGCAUCGACUAUCGAAAUGUUCGCUUGCCGAACAAUUGUAUCACACGCCAAAUAAAAUACAACGCAAUUCGCACAGUAAAAUUAGACCUGAACGGAAUAUUUCUCACCAUAACAAUUACGAUACUCCAAUGAAAAUAAUCUUGGUACUAUUCAUUUUUGUACUCUGUUAACUUGUUGCUAGAGAGUAUUAUAGUUUUAUUCAUCUAACGGUUAUACGUAUCACUUAAACUAGGCGAAAUAGAUAUAGGUUUAUAUAUAGUAUAGACAAGUUGAAUUUGUCCUUUUGCACCAGUUGCAUUUUUAUGUUUGCUUAUUCAAAAUAUACAUUUGAAAUAAAUUGAAACUUGAUGGUUUGGCUGCUGAA